rnacentral:rRNA from 1 species
GGGCCCGACUGCUAUCGGAUGAUACUAAGCCAUGCGAGUCUUUGUAGUAAUACAAGGCAGACGGCUCAGUAACACGUAGUCAACCUACCCUAUGGACGAGAAUAAUCUCGGGAAACUGAGCAUAAUUCUUGAUAGACCAUAAUGCCUGGAAUGGUUUAUGGUUAAAAUGAUUCGUCGCCAUAGGAUGGGACUGCGGCCUAUCAGCUUGUUGGUGAGGUAAUGGCCCACCAAGGCGAUUACAGGUACGGGCUCUGAGAGGAGAAGCCCGGAGAUGGGUACUGAGACACGGACCCAGGCCCUAUGGGGCGCAGCAGGCGAGAGAACUUUGCAAUGUGCGAAAGCACGACAAGGUUAAUCCGAGUGAUUUCUGCUAAAGAAAUCUUUUGCCAGUCGUAAAACCACUGGUGAAUAAGGGGUGGGCAAGUUCUGGUGUCAGCCGCCGCGGUAAAACCAGCACCUCAAGUGGUCAGGAUGAUUAUUGGGCCUAAAGCAUCCGUAGCCGGCUUUGUAAGUUUUCGGUUAAAUCCAUGUGCUCAACGCAUGGGCUGCCGAAAAUACUGCAUAGCUAGGGAGUGGGAGAGGUAGACGGUACUCAGUAGGUAGGGGUAAAAUCCUUUGAUCUAUUGAUGACCACCUGUGGCGAAGGCGGUCUACCAGAACACGUUCGACGGUGAGGGAUGAAAGCUGGGGGAGCAAACCGGAUUAGAUACCCGGGUAGUCCCAGCUGUAAACGAUGCAGACUCGAUGAUGCAUUGGCAUAAUAGCCAGUGCAGUGUCUCAGGGAAGCCGUUAAGUCUGCCGCCUGGGAAGUACGUACGCAAGUAUGAAACUUAAAGGAAUUGGCGGGGGAGCACCACAAGGGGUGAAGCCUGCGGUUCAUUGGAUUCACCGC